rnacentral:tRNA from 1 species
UGUGGCUCAGUGGUAGAGCACUUGCCUAGUGCAAGUGCAACCUGGGUUCGAUUCUCAGCA